rnacentral:rRNA from 1 species
GACGAACGCUGGCGGCGUGCUUAACACAUGCAAGUCGAACGGCAACGCCCUGCUUUUGUGGGGUGCUCGAGUGGCGAACGGGUGAGUAACACGUGAGUAACCUGCCCUUGACUUUGGGAUAACUUCAGGAAACUGGGCCUAAUACCGUAUCGCAGCUCCUCCUGCAUUGUGGGGGUUGGAAAGUUUCGGCGUUUGGGGAUGGACUCGCGGCUGUUCAGCUUGUUGGUGGGGUAGUGGCUUACCCAGGCUUUGACGGGUAGCCGGCCUGAGAGGGUGACCGGCGACAAUGGGACUGAGGGACGGCCCAGACUGCUACGGGAGGCAGCAGUGGGGAAUAUGGCACAAUGGGCGGAAGCCUGAGGCAGCAACGCCGCGUGCGGGAUGACGGCCUGCGGGUUGUAAACCGCUUUCGCCUGUGACGAAGCGGGAGUGACGGUAAUGGGUAAAGAAGCACCGGCUAACUACGUG